AAUAUUGAAAGAAUCUCAAUCUCUUAAUUAGAACACCUCUUUGCUAAAUCUUAGAUAUUCAAUUUCAAUUUUUCAUGAGAAAACUCAAAGCUAAAAUCUUGUGUUAAUAAAAAUGCAUGUAUUAAAACUCACAGCCAGUCCAAGCAAAUAUAUAUA